CGACAGUCCGUUCGUUGCCACACCCACGCGCCUACACAAGAUGGGCCGACCCAGACCGAAGGCACCGGCCCAUGAGGACCUACCUUCGCUGCGAAAAAAAGAAGCCGGCAUCACGAGUCAACGACUCUGUUCAUCUUCCUCGCCUCGUCGCCCCGUAGAUCUCUCCCCCACCACGACUCCAUUCGUUUCCUCUUCGUCCAUCAUCACCGCUCGCAAUGCUCUGCCAAUCUCCGCAUUCAACUCAAUUAAUCCGUCCUUCAAGACAAUAGAAACUGCUCGGAGAAUUUGUUCUACCGCCGCCGUCUUAAAGGCACGCGAUGGUGCUCUCCGCCCCCACAACGAUCCGGGCAAACUACGUCGCUGCACCCAAGACGGACAGCUGCUUCAACGUCGGUACCUACCCCUCUCCAUUCUUCUUCCUCCUUCCUUUUCUAGAAUCCCUAAAUCCCUCACUACAACUUAACGAUCUACCAGGUUCAUCUCCGCCUGCAGAUUUUGUCGCGCCUCCGGAUUUCCACUGUUACCUCAUCACAUAAAUCAGGUAUUCUGUGGUCUCCAAAAAGAUACGUAGGUUGUUUGUAUGCAUGUUUACGUUCUGCUGUAAUUGAAGUUUAAAUUGGAUGCUCACACAUCAAAUGAAAGCCUCCCCCAUGUAGUACUGUAAUUGGAGUUUUUGUUUGCCAUAUAGGAUAUAUGGAAAAAUGGAUGAUUCCAUUCUUCUACACGAAAAGCCCCAUGGAGGAUUAUAUUCAUAUGUUUCAAGUAAUGUCCGGCCAGUUCAUCUGUUGUUUAUUUUUACUGUGUUUACUGUUGUUUUUCUAUCAUUUUAUUCCACUUCUGAACUUUACAAUAUACAUGACAUGAUUGAGCAAUUUUAUUCGUGUCACAUGUUUCAGUGGGUUGAAUAAGCAUCCUCUGUUGCAUUUUUCCUGUUACCUGACACAGGUAUACUGGUCAUUGUUAUUGAAGCAGUUAACGAGUCUCAGGAUCACAUUAGGCUCUGGCCUUAGAAUGAAUGCAUGACUCAGAACAUGAAUUCAUAAACCAAUGCAUUAUGUGCAGGCCCCAAUAAUGUGAGUAUGUGUUUCCUGUCGUGACCAAAGAAUAGACAAGUCAGUUAGUCACAAAUUACAUUAUGGCCAGACUUACUAAAAUUUUGGCCCAACUGUUUGCUGGGUUGACCUCUCUUUCUGUAAACUGUCAAGAUGCUAUUGCUGUCAUAUAAAAGGAUGUAGGUCUAUGACUCUAUGUAAAAGUUCAUCUGUUAUUUCAAUGAGAUAAUUGCAUUUGUCUAAUACAAAACGAGCUACAGUUUGAAAAGAUUGGCAUAGUGGACUGCGCCUUCCGUGCUUUGAACUUUGAAGUAUAUCAAGGGAAACCUGGUUGUAGUUGAAACGAGCUCUUUUUUCGGUGUUAUUUUACAAAACACGUCUAUAGAAGAUUUGCCAAGGAUGUCUAAUAUCUGCAGGAAAAUUUUGAAAUGCGUUUGUCCUAUAAGCAGCCUCUGCAGCCUACAGCCUACAGGCUCUAGAUGAGAGAGUAAACUGCUAUGCUUAGUUGAACUGACCCACUGCCUGUGUUGCCCUGGAAAUCCAGCGUCCCCGCCUGCUCCCGUCGCCAUCUCUGGUUGCGUUCGGCUUUGAAGCUGCUUGACAUUUUGUCUCCACCGGAUCUGAUUGGUUUUCAUUGGAUUAUGCUUUCGGUCCAGGUAUCAAAUGUUGUAUUUUGCUCUGCAGUUUUGUUUCAGAACCAGAUAUGGUGCAUGAUAGAGGUGAUUGCCUACCUGGUAUAAGCUCAAAGAAUUGUCUCACCCCUCCUACUAGAUGGUCAUGGAUAUGUAUGCAUUUCUGUAUUACCUGCAGGUACAGUUUUGUCUGUCAGAUGUUUGAUGGAAUAUCUCCACCAUCUGGUGAAUUGAAAAAGUUUACAGACAAAAAUCGCUUCUCCUUCUCUUUAUGCAGUUAUCUUAGAAUGCUAUUGAGCGCCUCCACUACAACUGAAGCAUUAUGGAGCUCCCAAUGAUUCUGUUUAAGUUUGAGCUUUCCUAGAAAAAUGAAUGUGGGCAUUGACGAUGACAACUUCAUUUGACAACUAAUAAUGAGUAACACCAUAAGCAAUAGUAGAUGCAUAUGUCGGGCUGGUGCAUCCUGUUAGAUCAUUCAGCUUUUGGCCGACUUUGUGAAGGCAAGGUACUAUGUGCUCCCAUUGUUUCUACCAUUUUUACCGACAACAGUGCAUAUAGAGUUUAAGGGUUGAUGACACCAGUCCGCUCUCACUCUGUCUUCAGGACAUUUUCUGUACCACUUUCAAAUGAGCAUACAUCCAGUUUAUUUAAAUUUGCAUACAUAUUUUCUGUAUGUUUUAUGUUUAAAUUAUAUUGUUUGUUGGUUCCAUAUGAAAAUUGACUGACUUGCAGAACUGUGCACAUUUGAAAAAUUAGCAUAAAGUCAGUAUCCUCCUUUACAAUAAUAAGUUGUAACAUCUGACAUAUUAUUCAUUUUCUCUUAUGCUUCUAUUUUCGUGUGAUAGAAAAGUGACACAGUUUACUCAAUGUAGCUGAUGAGGUGACACAGUUUUUCCUUUAAUUUUCAAGGUGAGUUGAUGCUAUGUGUGCUCUGGUCAAUAUUGUGCAAAGCGUACUUGAGAUACUGUAAAAUGUAUGCUCACCACCACGUCUCAGGUACUAUGCAGGUAAUUGAUUCUAGGCGGCCAAAACUAACACUGCCAACUGUGGAUUAACAAGAUCAAUUCCUUUGUGUCAACCAUGAAAGAACAACAACUGUUACUGCCAUGUUGCAUGCUUGCGCUGACGUAUUUGUUCAUAUGGUUAUACUCCGUAAUAUGUGAUGUAAAUCCCUUCUAUAGAAGACAACAAUCCCUGCUUACUGCCUCUAUUUUCAGCAAUUUGUGCGCUCUAAAUUUCUGAAGUCUUAUGUGAUCUUACUGUUUCUGAAUUUAUGUGAUGUAUGCAUUCUUACUCCAUCAUGCAAAUACAAUUACGCACCCCUUUAUGAACU